GCUGGGCACAGUGGCUUGUGCCUGUAAUCCCAGCUCUGUGGGAGGCUGAGGCUGUAGGAUUGUUUAAGCUCAGGAGUUCUGGGCUGCAGUUGGCCAUACUAAUCAGGUGCCCACACUAAUGUCAGCAUCAAUAUGGUGACCUGUGGGAAGCUGGAGGCUACCAGGUUGUCUAAGAAGGGGUGAACCGACCCAGGUCAAGAAUAGAGCAGGCCAAAGCUCCUGUGCUGAGGAGUAGUGGGAUUGCACCUGUGGUUGGUUCCUGUAGCCCAGCCUGGGCAAGAGAGUAAAACACAGUCUCU
ensembl:misc_RNA Metazoa_SRP Metazoan signal recognition particle RNA